rnacentral:lncRNA from 1 species
AAAAAAACCCUUUUCCGGCAGAACAUACUCAAAUCUGUCAAAAGUUACUUUUUCGUCAGUGUUGCGCAAAAACCAACACCACCACGAAGUAGAUCGGCCUCCGGCGACCAACCCUGUAAAUUAUCUCCGGCAGACAAGCUGCCACGUACCCACACGCGCCGGCAGAAAUACUUUUCCGGCGAGCGCGUGACCCCCACGCGC